UACGAAGGGGCUAGCGUUGCUCGGAAUCACUGGGCGUAAAGGGCGCGUAGGCGGCGUUUUAAGUCGGGGGUGAAAGCCUGUGGCUCAACCACAGAAUGGCCUUCGAUACUGGGACGCUUGAGUAUGGUAGAGGUUGGUGGUAAACUGCGAGUGUAGAGGUGAAAUUCGUAGAUAUUCGCAAGAACAUCCGGUGGCGAAGGCGGCCAACUGACCAUUACUGACGGCUGAGGCGCGAAAGCUGGGGAGCAAACAGG
rnacentral:rRNA from 1 species